rnacentral:rRNA from 1 species
AGAGUUUGAUCCUGGCUCAGAUUGAACGCUGGCGGCAUGCCUAACACAUGCAAGUCGAACGGAAACGAUGGGAGCUUGCUCCCAGGCGUCGAGUGGCGGACGGGUGAGUAAUACUUAGGAAUCUGCCCAUUAGUGGGGGACAACUCGAGGAAACUCGAGCUAAUACCGCAUACGCCCUACGGGGGAAAGCGGAGGACCUUUCGGGGCUUCGCGCUAAUGGAUGAGCCUAAGUCGGAUUAGCUAGUUGGUGGGGUAAAGGCCCACCAAGGCGACGAUCUAUAGCUGGUCUUAGAGGAUGAUCAGCCACACUGGAACUGAGACACGGUCCAGACUCCUACGGGAGGCAGCAGUAGGGAAUAUUGGACAAUGGGCGCAAGCCUGAUCCAGCCAUGCCGCGUGUGUGAAGAAGGCUCUAGGGUUGUAAAGCACUUUCAGUAGGGAGGAAAAGCUAGUAGUUAAUACCUGCUAGCCCUGACGUUACCUACAGAAGAAGCACCGCAAACU